ensembl:lncRNA AQP4-AS1 AQP4 antisense RNA 1
AUCCACUCCAGGACAGCUGAGCGUCUGGAUGGUGUCUCACCCUGUUGCCCAGGCUGGAAUACAGUGGCACGAUCCUGGCUCACUGCAAUCUCCAUCUCCCGGGUUCAAGCGAUUCUCCUGCCUCAGCCUCUCAAGUAGCUGGGAUUACAGGGCUUCAGAAGCUGAUGGCAUAGUUAUGAGAGGGGUGAAGACUGCGACUGCAUUUCCAACAGACCCUGAGGACAAUUGGGAAGAAUGCGCUGAAUAUUUUUGAGCAAUUUCUAUAUGAUAAGCAGUUUUUAGGUUGCACUGAUCCUGACCUUUUGGCCUGAGGAUGGAAGUCUUCAGUAUCUGUACAACUUUACUCCCAAGAGCUGGUGUAGAAUGAGUUCCUCUGGCCAUGGGAGGAUCGCAGAGGGGCACCUGCCACCAGCAGCCCAGCCUCAGCACUUUUCUCUUCAGCGUCUUCUUCAAGGUAUUUCCAGUUGCCCGCCCUGAACUGUUUCAGAAUGAGGAGGACACCUGGAGGAAUCUACACGUGCAUAGACCAAUUUGCAAAAGAACCUGUGAGCCAACGUAGGUUGUGAGAUGCAUAUCCCACAUCCAGUUCAGCCCAGUAACUUGGGAAAUGGGGGAGAGGUAGCUCUGAAGACCAGACUUAGUACAUUUUUACCCCCAUCCAUGCUUGCAACUGUAAGUUGAUCUUAAAUUAGUACUUUUAACCAAGUCAACCUCAAUCACUUGAAUAGGAUACCCAGCUGAAAAACUUGGGGUCACUGAAUCAAUCUCUUAUCUGUAAGAGAUAAUGAUGCCCACCCAAUGGGGUUCUGAAAAAUAUGUAAUGCCUGACAUGUAGUGUAUACUCACUGAAUGUGGCUUUUAACCACAACCUUUAUAUUUUUGCCGAGUAUCACCUUUCUGCAGCAACCGUGAGAACCUCGCGCUAAGCUUGUCUUAGAUUGCUCAUUCCUUUCCUAUAUUUAGACACCAAACUCCAUUCAUUUUCCCCUUGAAAUGUUCAUUCCCAUGAUCAAGAUUUUGCUUAAACACAUUUUGUUUUCAUGUCCAGAUUAUUACCUCAGCUGGAAGAAUUAAUAAGCAACACGUUCACCCAAGAAGUAUUUACUGAGCACCUACUAUGUGCAUUAUUUUCUGGUGUUGGGGCUAGGGGGCAAACGACUCUGACAAGUCUCUGUUCUCAAGGUACUCACAUUUAUAUGGAUGAAGAUAGAUAACAAACAAGGAAAAAAUUGGACAGACAAAAAAUUUAGGUGGUGCCAAGUAUGAUGCAAACACUAAAACAGUAAUGCAAUAGAAGAUGUCAGAGGGAGAGUGGGAAGGUUACGUUAAAUAGAUGUCCAAGGAAGAUCUCUCUGAGGAGAAGCUACUAGGGCUGAGAUCUUAAUGACAACAAGGAACCCAAGGGCUGGAAGCAGAGCGUUUUGAACAUGGCCAGUGGGUGCAAAGGCCAUCACACGUGAAUGGGCCUGGCCAGGUGGAAGGACAGAGGGCAAGGCUGUUGUGGUUGCCCUGUGAGUGCGAACGGCCCAAGAUGGGAUGAAAGAGGAGGUCGGGACCACACCGUAUAGGAAUAUCAGAUCAUGGUCAGGGCUUUGGAUUUUACAGGGGUGCAGUAUAAGCCAUGGGGAGUUUUAGACAGGUACAGAAGUAAUUUACAUUUUCUUUCUUUCUUUUUUUUUUUUUUUGAAACGGAGUCUUGCUCUGUCCCCCAGGCUGGAGUGCAGCGGCGCGAUCUCGGCUCACUGCAAGCUCCGCCUCCCGGGUUCACGCCAUUCUCCUGCCUCAGCCUCCCGAGUAGCUGGGACUACAGGCGCCCGCAACCACGCCCGGCUAAUUUUUUGUAUUUUUAGUAGAGAUGGGGUUUCACCAUGUUAGUCAGGAUGGUCUCGAUUUCCUGACCUUGUGAUCCGCCCGCCCCCGCCUCCCAAAGUGCUGGGAUUACAGGCGUGAGCCACCGCGCCCGGCCGUAGUUUACAUUUUCUAAAGCGUACUCUGCCAGCCAAGUGGCAAACAGACUUGGGCCUCUUAAGAGUGGAAGCAGGAGGAAACCCGAAGAUCCUGGAGAGAGACUGGUGGCUGGUACCAGUGGAGAGGGAGCAAAAAGGAAAAUACAGGAUACAAUUUCAGGAAAAAUUUCAUACCAAUUUCCUGAGGUAAUUUCUGAACUCGAACAUUUUCAGUGUCACCACAUUGUGUUUCCUGCUGAAUCAAGUCUACAUCACUUCGGUUUUUAAAGCCUUCCACGAUCCUUCCCUGAACACUGUAGUUUUCACUGAUGGUUGGCUGUUUCAAACUCCCAUAUGAUCCAUACUGUAUCAUUAAUAAGCAAGCAAGGAAUAACACACCCUCUGCUAUUCUGUGCAGUGUUUCAGGUUUUUAGUUUUCUCUUUCAAGAUAGAAAAUCCCUUUAGAGUAGGAACUCGGCUGGCACUUUCUUUCACAUCCUGCAUAGCACUUAGCAAAGUUCUGUACACAGGGCACAUGUGGAAAUUGCUUAUUGAUUGAUUAAAAGCAUAUAUCACUGGCAUUUGUAUCUUCAGUAUUUCUCUUGUAUGAAGAAGGGUGAUUAUCUGUCAAUAUUCAUUGCAUCAUUGAACCAAUGUACAAUGCAUUAAUCAUCACUGAAGAUAACCAGAUGAGGCUUUAUUGUAAUCUCCUUCUAUUUUGCUGAGAUAAUUUCACUUGCUUUAGAGUUUAUGAGGCCAUAAGUGGCUCCCAUCUGUUGAUGAACAUAUUUCUAAGAGUCAUUUAGUCUCAAGUAUGGAAUACUUGAGGGGAAGUUAAAUUGUAACUUUUAUAUUAAGUGUCAUCUUAGUAACAGAACCAAAAUUGGAAGCAUGUGUUCAAUUUUGGUUUUUCAUUUUCAAAGCUUUAGGUCAGGCAAAGAAUUAAUUUCAUUUGUUUACAAAGUAGAUUAUGCCUAAUAAAAUCUAUUUUGUUUAUGGUCACAUUUUAAUCAAUCCACUGCUUUAGAAAAUGAGAGAAUUCUGAUUGGCUAAUCAUUCAACAUAGUAAAUUACAUUAUUCCACAUCCACAGAACACUGGCCUAAUUGCAUUAUCCAGUAAUGAUAAAAAUAUUCCUUUUAAUACAUUUUGAGCAAGGCAUAUACCAGUGAUGAAACAGGGAAGAAUCUUGUUUAUUCCAUCCUUGUUUGAUGAUCGACCACAGAAUAUAACAUAACACUUCUGUGUAUAAGAAUUUUUUCAACAUUAAGGAUAAUAAGGACAAGGUAGUUUUCACUGGAUCCUUACUGGUACUCUGAAUUUUCACUAUUUGUCCGCAUUUCUUCUCCUUCCCGGAAAUUUGUUUUCUGCGAAAAACAAGUGCUACUUUGUCAAAUAAAGCUUAAAUAAAAUUGGUUUCAAUUUA